rnacentral:rRNA from 1 species
CCUACGGGAGGCAGCAGUGGGGAAUAUUGGACAAUGGGCGAAAGCCUGAUCCAGCAAUGCCGCGUGAGUGAUGAAGGCCUUAGGGUCGUAAAGCUCUUUUACCCGGGAUGAUAAUGACAGUACCGGGAGAAUAAGCCCCGGCUAACUCCGUGCCAGCAGCCGCGGUAAUACGGAGGGGGCUAGCGUUGUUCGGAAUUACUGGGCGUAAAGCGUGCGUAGGCGGUUAUUCAAGUCAGAGGUGAAAGCCCGGGGCUCAACCCCGGAACGGCCUUUGAAACUAGGUAGCUAGAAUCUUGGAGAGGUCAGUGGAAUUCCGAGUGUAGAGGUGAAAUUCGUAGAUAUUCGGAAGAACACCAGUGGCGAAGGCGACUGACUGGACAAGUAUUGACGCUGAGGCACGAAAGCGUGGGGAGCAAACAGGAUUAGAUACCCUGGUAGUCCACGCCGUAAACGAUGAUAACUAGCUGUUCGGGUACUUGGUAUCUGAGUGGCGCAGCUACGACAUUAAGUUAUCCGUCCGUCGGGUAGGUACGGUCGCGAGAUUAAACUAACAAAGAAAGUUAGACGGCGUGUAAGUACGUAGCCGAACGGACGACGACGAAGGGGAGGUUAGG